rnacentral:rRNA from 1 species
CAUGCUAACACAUGCAAGUCGGACGGUAACGCGAGAGCUUGCUCUCUUGCGACGAGUGGCGGACGGGUGAGUAACGCGUAGGAAUCUGCCUGGUAGAGGGGGACAACUUGGGGAAACUCAGGCUAAUACCGCAUACGCCCUAAGGGGGGAAAGCGGGGGAUCUUCGGACCUCGCGCUAUCAGAUGAGCCUGCGUUAGAUUAGCUGGUUGGUUGGGUAAAGGCCUACCAAGGCGACGAUCUAUAGCUGGUCUGAGAGGACGAUCAGCCACACUGGGACUGAGACACGGCCCAGACUCCUACGGGAGGCAGCAGUGGGGAAUAUUGGACAAUGGGCGCAAGCCUGAUCCAGCAAUGCCGCGUGUGUGAAGAAGGCCUGAGGGUUGUAAAGCACCUUCAAUUGUGAAGAAGUUAUCGUAGUUAAUACCAGCGAUGAUUGACAUUAGCUUUAGAAGAAGCACCGGCUAACUCUGUGCCAGCAGCCGCGGCAAUACAGAGGGUGCAAGCGUUAAUCGGAAUU